rnacentral:ncRNA from 1 species
AUAGUGUCGCGAUAGUAAUUCAACCUAUUACGAGAGGAACCGUUGAUUCACACAAUUGGUCAUCGUGCUUGGUUGAAAAGCCAAUGGCGCAAAGCUACCGUGUGCAGGAUUAUAACUUGACGCCUCUAAGUCAGAAUCUAGGCUAAAGAAGCGGCACAUGCGCCCGUCGCCUGAUUGCCGACCUGCAGUAGGGGCCUUCGGGCCCCCAGAGGCACAUGCCGUGGGCCAAGCCCUCGCAGCGGACGAGUCGUGCGGACCGCCCUGAAGUUCUAUUCCCACCGGGCGGCGGGUAAAAUGCUUUGCAGACGACUUAAAUACGCGACGGGGUAUUGUAAGUGGCCUUGCUGCCAAGAAUAAUGUUACGUGUACCGAAAAUGGUU